rnacentral:rRNA from 1 species
UACGUAGGGUGCGAGCGUUACUCGGAAUUACUGGGCGUAAAGCGUGCGCAGGCGGUUCGUCGUGUCUGAUGUGAAAGCCCCGGGCUCAACCUGGGAAUGGCAUUGGAAACUGGCGGACUAGAGUGUGGCAGAGGGGGGUGGAAUUCCGCGUGUAGCAGUGAAAUGCGUAGAGAUGCGGAGGAACACCGAUGGCGAAGGCAGCCCCCUGGGCUAACACUGACGCUCAGGCACGAAAGCGUGGGGAGCAAACAGG